UGUGUUUCUUUAAAUGUUUCUUCAACGUUGGCUUUGGGUUUUGGUUUUAACUGUUUCGUAUUUAUUUUGGAAUCAAUUUCAAACAAAUUUCAGCUCAGCCCGACAAUCACAUCGUUUAGGCAUUUUAAAUAAAUCUAAGCAAAGUUUUCGUAUACAUUUUUUUUACGUUACUCGCUGUAGUCUUUAGUGGCUCGAUUCUCGGAAACUUAAAGCCAACUAAAUAUAUGUAGUUUGUACUAUCACUUUUGUGGACAAUCACUUUUGGCAUAUGACAGCGGCUAAGGCUGAUAGAAAACAAGAUUUGGUCAUACGAAACAAAAUUGUGAAAGUAAGAUUGCGUGUUACGUCAAGGUGGUUUUGUCAGCGGGAUUUCGUCUUCAUAUACCUACACUCUUCCAAUCACUCGUUCAUGUAACAUGAGCGCUGGUUGCUAGGUUUUUGUCAACCUCUGUCUGAACAAACUGCUGUCAUAGCAAAUCAGCUAACUCCUUCAAAUUUUCUGAGAGUCGAUUAACGGUUUGAUGUUAGUCACACCUGUGACUUGUGUACAUCCUGGCAGCAACUGCGUUUCGGAAACUAUGGAUUUGUUUGAGCUCCAGCAACGGCGGCAGUAAGGCUGUAUUACUUUCCACGAAAAAACAUUCCGUUCUCAACCAGGGUGGAGAGAAGCACGGAAAUUCCUGCAACAUCACGCAUUUGAUCAACAAAAUGCUGACUUUCUGCUACUCAUCACCAGUUAAACAAACGGAGUACAAAAUAAUCUUCUGCGCGUUCGAAAUGGAGGGUGAAAAAUGACCACAAGGGUAGAAAUCGUGUUGACGAGGACUCUGCCUUUUGUUUCCCCCUUCCAUUUCAAGAACGCAUAAUUCCA